GACGAACGCUGGCGGCGUGCUUAACACAUGCAAGUCGAACGGAAAGGCCCUGCUUGCAGGGUACUCCAGUGGCGAACGGGUGAGUAACACGUGGGUGAUCUGCCCUGCACUUCGGGAUAAGCCUGGGAAACUGGGUCUAAUACCGGAUAGGAGCCAUUUUUAGUGUGAUGGUUGGAAAGUUUUUUCGGUGUAGGAUGAGCUCGCGGCCUAUCAGCUUGUUGGUGGGGUAAUGGCCUACCAAGGCGGCGACGGGUAGCCGGCCUGAGAGGGUGGACGGCCACAUUGGGACUGAGAUACGGCCCAGACUCCUACGGGAGGCAGCAGUGGGGAAUAUUGCACAAUGGGCGCAAGCCUGAUGCAGCGACGCCGCGUGGGGGAUGACGGCCUUCGGGUUGUAAACUCCUUUCGCUAGGGACGAAGCUUUUUGUGACGGUACCUAGAUAAGAAGCACCGGCUAACUACGUG
rnacentral:rRNA from 1 species